rnacentral:rRNA from 1 species
UCGGCCUGGUGGCGAGUGGCGAACGGGUGAGUAAUAUAUCGGAACGUACCCAAGAGUGGGGGAUAACGUAGCGAAAGUUACGCUAAUACCGCAUACGAUCUAUGGAUGAAAGUGGGGGAUCGCAAGACCUCAUGCUCCUGGAGCGGCCGAUAUCUGAUUAGCUAGUUGGUGAGGUAAAGGCUCACCAAGGCGACGAUCAGUAGCUGGUCUGAGAGGACGACCAGCCACACUGGAACUGAGACACGGUCCAGACUCCUACGGGAGGCAGCAGUGGGGAAUUUUGGACAAUGGGCGCAAGCCUGAUCCAGCAAUGCCGCGUGAGUGAAGAAGGCCUUCGGGUUGUAAAGCUCUUUUGUCAGGGAAGAAACGGUAGAGGCUAAUAUCCUUUGCUAAUGACGGUACCUGAAGAAUAAGCACCGGCUAACUACGUGCCAGCAGCCGCGGUAAUACGUAGGGUGCAAGCGUUAAUCGGAAUUACUGGGCGUAAAGCGUGCGCAGGCGGUUUUGUAAGUCUGUCGUGAAAGCCCCGGGCUCAACCUGGGAAUUGCGAUGGAGACUGCAAGGCUUGAAUCUGGCAGAGGGGGGUAGAAUUCCACGUGUAGCAGUGAAAUGCGUAGAGAUGUGGAGGAACACCGAUGGCGAAGGCAGCCCCCUGGGUCAAGAUUGACGCUCAUGCACGAAAGCGUGGGGGAGCAAACAGGAUUAGAUACCCUGGUAGUCCACGCCCUAAACGAUGUCUACUAGUUGUCGGGUUUUAAUUAACUUGGUAACGCAGCUAACGCGUGAAGUAGACCGCCUGGGGAGUACGGUCGCAAGAUUAAAACUCAAAGGAAUUGACGGGGACCCGCACAAGCGG